GGCACGCUUUAGAUACAAAAGAUGCCGUCAUAUUGACAGCUUUUGUAUCUUUUAAUCUGAAUGCUUAAAUCCAAACAUCAACAGCCUUUAGGGUUAAGGUGCGACUAUCAUGGAGGUUCCUGGAAAAGGAUAUGGUUUAACCAAAGCAUCACCAGCAGCUACAGGGACCCAAACUCCCCGGUGAAUGAUGUCAGCUGAGCCUUUUUGGAUCCCGGGCUUUGUGUUCUGUGGAGCAGGCAGGCGACCGGCUGGAUUUUGGAUGUCUGACAUAUCUUGGCAGCCUGUAUUGUAAGUGAAGACUUUUCAAAGGAAAUUCUGCACAACAAGAAACAAUAAACAACAUUCAAUACACAGCCCCGGGCUAGCAGAUGGUGACGGGGGGCCAGGUGCUCCACCUCCUUCCAUUUCAGAGAUUGAUCCUGUUUGCAGAUUGCCCUCCUGAACCGUCCUCCUAUGGGACAUGAAACUUCAGAGGCGAGCGACGGUGACAUCAGGACACACAUUCAAGACACAUCCAUCGAAGUCAAACAUCAAAGUCAACAAAGGAAACAACAGGAACAAAGAUAUUUGCUCACCUUGCCUAUGAUGCUUCCGACCUCCUGUGAAAACAGAAACAAGCAAAUGUCAGCGUAUUGAUCUGUCAGAUAACACUUUGCAUGAGGAAGACUAGAAAAUGUAAUCGGAUGAAUACCACAAAGAAUACAAUGACAUGUGAAUUUUAGUAUCCAUUAAAUUAUGAGAUUAAUUAAAGAACUGGUACAGUAAUACAAUUAAUCAAUAAGUGGCCUUAAAGGGCCAGUUCACCAUUUACGCACUCUCAUGUUGUCACAAACCUGUAUAAAUGUUUGAUAUUUGUGUUGAAGAAUUUUAAUUUUUGGGUGAACUAUCCCUUUAUUAUUCAUUAUAUGGUCUUAACACAUAAAAAAACUUUUUUGUUCAUGUUUCUCUUGAGCUUUCCUUGAAUUCACAUUGAAAUGAUAUCUGUAUCAUUGAAAGUAUCUUUAAAACUUUGCAAUCUGUUGAUGUGAUUGAGAAUUAGCAUAAA